rnacentral:rRNA from 1 species
UACGAAGGGGGCUAGCGUUGCUCGGAAUCGCUGGGCGUAAAGCGCACGUAGGCGGACUCUUAAGUCAGGGGUGAAAUCCUGGAGCUCAACUCCAGAACUGCCUUUGAUACUGGGAGUCUCGAGUUCGGGAGAGGUGAGUGGAACUGCGAGUGUAGAGGUGAAAUUCGUAGAUAUUCGCAAGAACACCAGUGGCGAAGGCGGCUCACUGGCCCGAUACUGACGCUGAGGUGCGAAAGCGUGGGGAGCAACAGGG